UGCUUGGAGCCAAACUAGAGAAUGUAGAAACAGGGAUUUAGAGAAAACGAGGAAAGGCGGACUAAUUUAAAUCAAUCACUUCAACAUGCCCUCCCUCACACCCCUAAGUCUAUAUACACCAAGUCAAGUCAUACGCAGUUUUGUGGGAGGAGACACGGCCGAGGCGUGGCUGAUGCGUGACGUUGCUUGGAGCCAAACUAGAGAAUGUAGAAACAGGGAUUUAGAGAAAACGAGGAAAGGCGGACUAAUUUAAAUCCAUCACUUCAACAUGCCCUCCCUCACACCCCACACCGCCGUUUGUAGGCAUUGGAAUUACAGUCACGCAAUAGCACAAUAAAAAGACAUUUUUUUCGUCAGUGGCUUGCCUGAACGCGCUGUGAAAGAAGGCGAGAAUGCACAUCCAGAGUGCACACACGGCCCCAACUUUAGUCACCCCUGAACUGGCGGGUAUUUUUUUUUUUGGCUCCAAGUGACGUCAUCCCGCUGCUCCGCCCCCAAACCGCC